UGCGUAGGUGGUCCGUUAAGUUCGUUGUGAAAUCCCUGGGCUCAACCCAGGAACUGCUUCGAAUACUGGCGGACUUGAGGCCGGUAUGGGUCACUGGAACAGAUGGUGGAGCGGUGAAAUGCGUAGAUAUCAUCUGGAACGCCGGUGGUGAAGACGGGUGACUGGGCCGGUUCUGACACUGAGGCACGAAAGCAUGGGGAGCGAAACGGGAUUAGAUACCCCGGUAGUCCAUGCCCUAAACGAUGCAGACUAGAUUGCAGCGGGUCUUACCCCGUUGCGGUCGGAGAAAAAUUGUUAAGUCUGCCACCUGGGAAGUACGGUCGCAAGGCUAAA
rnacentral:rRNA from 1 species